AUCCAGCUGACGAGUCCCAAAUAGGACGAAACGGGCUGCAAACUUGAU
rnacentral:hammerhead_ribozyme from 1 species